rnacentral:tRNA from 1 species
UCCCCAGCAGUCCAGUGGUUAAGAACUCCCCAUUUCCAAUGCGGGGGGUGCUGGUUCGAUUCCUGAUUGGGGAA